rnacentral:rRNA from 1 species
UUCAACGCCGGAAAACUCACCGGGAGCGACCUUUGGAUGAGAGUCAACUUGAUGAGUUUACUCGAUAGAAGGAGAGGUGGUGCAUGGCCGUCGUCAGCUCGUACCGUAGGGCGUUCACUUAAGUGUGAUAACGAGCGAGACCCCCAUCUCUAAUUGCCAGUAUGUCUUUGCGGACAUGCGCACUUUAGAGGGACCGCCAGCGCUAAGCUGGAGGAAGGAGGGGUCGACGGCAGGUCAGUACGCCCCGAAUCUCCCGGGCUACACGCGCGCUACAAAGGACAGGACAAUGAGUUGCAACCUCGAAAGGGGGAGCUAACCUCGAAACCUGUUCAUAGUUAGGAUUGAGGGCUGUAACUCGCCCUCAUGAAUGUGGAUUCCGUAGUAAUCGCGGGUCAACAGCCCGCGGUGAAUAUGCCCCUGCUCCUUGCACACACCGCCCGUCAAACCAUCCGAGCUGGUGUUGGAUGAGGGUAUGCCCGAGAGGACAAACUCGAAUCUGAUGUCAGUGAGGA